rnacentral:rRNA from 1 species
AAUUUACUAGGUCCAGACAUAGUAAACGAUCGACAUACUGAGACCUCUUUUUUGAUUCUAUAGGUGGUGGUGCAUGGCCACUCUUAGUUGGUAGAGCGAUUUGUUUGGUUAAUUCCGUUAACGAACGAGACUUCAGUAUGCUAACUUGCUAUGCGGAGGUAUUCCUUCGCGGCCAACAUCUUAGAGGGGCUACGACCUUUUACGCUGCGGAAGUUUGAGGACUAUUUUUUCAGUUAUUUUUUUUGUGCUUAA